rnacentral:tRNA from 4 species
GGGCGCGUAGCUCAGCGGUAGAGCACUACGUUGACAUCGUAGGGGUCACUGGUUCGAUCCCAGUCGCGCCCACCA